rnacentral:rRNA from 1 species
AUGAACGCUGGCGGCGUGCCUAAUACAUGCAAGUCGAGCGAACAGACGAGGAGCUUGCUCCUCUGACGUUAGCGGCGGACGGGUGAGUAACACGUUGAUAACCUACCUAUAAGACUGGGAUAACUUCGGGAAACCGGAGCUAAUACCGGAUAAUAUAUUGAACCGCCUGGUUCAAUAGUGAAAGACGGUUUUGCUGUCACUUAUAGAUGGAUCCGCGCCGCAUUAGCUAGUUGGUAAGGUAACGGCUUACCAAGGCAACGAUGCGUAGCCGACCUGAGAGGGUGAUCGGCCACACUGGAACUGAGACACGGUCCAGACUCCUACGGGAGGCAGCAGUAGGGAAUCUUCCGCAAUGGGCGAAAGCCUGACGGAGCAACGCCGCGUGAGUGAUGAAGGUCUUCGGAUCGUAAAACUCUGUUAUUAGGGAAGAACAAAUGUGUAAGUAACUAUGCACGUCUUGACGGUACCUAAUCAGAAAGCCACGGCUAACUACGUG